rnacentral:lncRNA from 1 species
GCCGGCGCACCAACUUGACCUCUUCUCUGUAGUGUUUUCGAUAUUUUUCAAACAUUAUUUAGAUUCUGUUUGUAUUUGGGCAUAUUUUUAAGAAUGUAAAUGUUUGCUCUAUAUUAACCUAUCGUCAUGCAAAUUUCGCAAACUAUUGUUAUGCCAAUGGGCGCUCAGAUAUAGAUGGUUUGCUUCCCUUCAUGUUAUAGUACAAUAUGUUUAAACAGUUGAACAACGUUGUGUUCUUGGCUUGAGUCCAGCACUGACAGUGCCUAUUUGCAAUAUUCCAUAUGGGAUUACCAUUCACAGGUAUUUGCGUGAACAUCCCAAUGAGGCGGAUGGAGUUGACUUGGGCCAAUUUUCUUUUAAAAUCCCACUGUUGGUGAAGGAGAAGUCCUUGGAAGAACAUACCACCCGUGUUUUACAAGACGGUCGCAAACGCCGCAGGAUGCCUUGAAAUGGAGGAAGAAAGGAGUGAUCUGUAUCCAAUCUGGAUAUGAAUAUUGAAAUGGGCUACAUAGAGUUGGUACUUUAGUCGUGUGACAUUUGAGUGAUUGUUGAAGACUUGGCAACUGCUUUUGAUGUAAUGACAUGUAAACUGUUAGUCUCCUUGUGAAUUCAAGAGUAGAGCCAUUUUCAUUUUAUCCAAUCGACUUUCUAGUUAGUAAUUACUAUAAUUUUGUAUAAUAGAAUAUACAGAUAUAAAACCAUUUCUUUACAUAAAAUGCUAUGGGCGUCAUGUGUUUUGUGAGAGGAGUUGUUGGGGCUUGUUUCAUAUUUACCAUGACAUUUCAGCCCAAUUUUAAGAGACUUUAUUGGUGGGUUUGGUUUAACAAAUGAUGAGUAUCAGUAUUGGUUUGCUCCCUUGUGUAUUAGACCAUAUAUAUGGUGCAUUUUGCAUAGGUCAAAAGUCAAGUUUAGCUUUUUUCUCAAAAGGCUGGCUGGCAUGAAGCUUGAUCUUAGUGAAAGUAUGAUCAAGCAGCUUACCCUUCUCGGAAUUGGCCACCAUAAUUGGUUCUACCCAAUUGGAAAACUGUUUGGGAACCCAAGGCAGCUUGUUCAAGAGAAGGGGUUUCCAGAACUCCUCGUGAUUGGUGCUUUUUAGAUCAUUACCUCCUGGAAGUCAGAGUGCGGAUACAUUUCUAGCACUGAAAGACGUGGGACGACAUCAUAUUGCAGGUAUACUACUAAUGCUGGAAAUUGUUAUUGGUUUUUUUUUCUUGCAGUACUAUUAAUACUUGUAGUUUAGCCGUAGUAAGUUAUCUUGUUCUAAAGGAUCAGCACAAGGGAAAAUUUCUGGUCUAACAAACAUAUCAUCACAUCCUAGUUGCAUCAUUAACGCAGCAUCUGUUGGAGUCACAAUGCCUCCAGUAGCAGCAUGCACAACAGGAAACCUUCCCCAUUUGCCUAGUCUGGGCUUACUAUGCAUUAGAAUCUCCAAUUUCCUUGAAAAGUGUGAAAAACUUUAUCUUCAUCCAUAUCGAUAAAAAUUAAAACCUAUGUUACUUGAACUCAUCUCCGUCCUAUUUUUGGACAUGGGCAUCGGGAAUGGUAACGAUGCACUAAUAAACAAGUAGGGUAAAAAUUAUUCAUUAAAAUCAUAUAACCAAAAAACUCACAUCUAACAUGUAUUAUGAGAGACUUUGCGAUUUAGGUGUUUUAAGGUUUUCUCAUCCCAUCUUCUCAUCCUUCUCUUUUGCAUCCUAAUUAGCACUUAGCAGCAAUGUCGAUGCUGUUGUUUUAUGCAGUUAUGGAUUAAAGUGUGAUAAUUUUUGUAAAUACAAGCCUGAUUAUUUCCCUAUUAUAUGUGAAGUUAUUAUAACAAAUGCUUUCAAAUUAAAAACCAUAUAGUUUUCUGGUUAAAAAAUGAUUUACAUUUAUAAAUAUAUCAUCUGAGCCUAGAGAACAGAGGGAAGUUAUUUUUAUUAUAGGUUAAAGUGACUAGUGUUCACCAAAUCUGGUAGAUGAAGAAUGAAAAUAUAGACUUUGCAGACUUGUAAUCUAGUACAAUUGAUGGAAUUGUGAUACUUUCGAUGAAUUUACACUUGUUAAUCAGGAUUAGUCUGUCAUGUGUAUGUCAGUAUGUGGCUGUUUAGGUUUGCUUAUUUGGAAAAGACAAGCACAAUUCUCCCGCAUAAAAAGUACCUAGUUGUGUUGUGUACAUGUGCCUGUUAGGUUUAGCUUAAUUUGAUAAAAUUUGCACUUGUCUUUUAUCAAAUUAAUAUAUUUUUGACUAUUUUUUUUUACUCCAAAUUCAUUUGUUUUGAUAAAUAAAUUUUAUAAUGGAGUAUCAAUCAUCAGGUGUAGAAUAUCUUAUUGGUAUCAUAGUAUGUAAGCAAUUAAAAAGUGCUUCUACUUAUUUACACAAACGGUUCAAGAAAAGCAGAAGCCAGAAGCAACUCCGACUUCUGCUAACCAAACAGGCACAUAGUAAAGUUCUGUUAAGACCACUUUUUAUCGGAGACCUCGGAGAACAUGCAUGUUUUGCAAAUAAAACAUUGCAAAACUUAUAAUUUUGCAAAUCAUAUUCAAUGAAAAUCAUUUUUUAAUUAAAAAUCUUGAAAAAUCAUACUCCUUCAGUUCCACCCAAAUGAUUAUAUUUGGGUGGGGCAUAGAGAUUAAGAAAAUAUGUAAAGUAAGAGUAUGAAAGAAAGAAAAGUGAGGAUAGUGAUGAAACCAUUUGAUAUUUAAUACAUAAAGUAAGGAUAGUGGUGAAAAGUAGUGGGGGUAGUUGAUUUUUAUAUUAUAAAAUUUUACUAUACUUAAUAAAUUUUGAAAUAUAGAAUGGAUGGGACAUCCCAAAAAGGAAAGUGUAAAUAAAUGGUUGAGACGGAGGGAGUAUAUGUAUUGCGAGGAAGACAUUGCAAGACUGGACAUUGCAAAACAUAGGUUGUGCAAAAGAAUGUCUGGCUUGCAAAACGUACAUUAUUUUUUGGAUUUUCAAUGAAAUAGCACUAUUCAAAUAACAUACUUUAUAAAAUAUAAUGUUGUUAAUGUUUUGGUGCAGAACAUGCAUCGUUUCCGAGGAUUCUGAUAAAAAGUGAUUUUGGAGGUCUCCGAUAAAAAGUGGUCUUCAUAGAACUUUACUCUCUAUAUCACAAACCUCCUUAAAAUACAAUAUAAAAACUAAAAAAAAUCUUAAAAUUAUAUUUAAAUAUAGCAAAAAUUGUAUUUAAAUCGUUAGGAGAUGUAGAAUAAUUAUAGUGAAGUCAGAUUGACAUGAAAAUUCAAAUUAAAAAUGGAGGGGAUUAUGUGGGAUCAUGUGUGGGAGGAUGAAUUUUAAUUGUGUGUGGUGACUUCUAGAAGGCUUGUAGUUUGUACAGUAAUUUGGUUAACUACACAACUAAAAACCUUCUUAAAAUAAAAACUAAAAUAAAAAAAAUUCUGAAUCACAUCGAAAUAGCACAUAUGAUAUGCAACUGAAAGUUGGGAGAUGAAUAAAAAUACCAUUAAGUCAGAUUUCUAAAAAACUCACCGUUGACGAGAAAAAUCAAAAUAGAAACGGAUGAGAUUAUGUGGGUUAUGUGUGGGAGAGCGUAUUUUAAUUGUGUGGAGCGUAUUUUAAUUGUGUGGUGACUUCUAGGGGCCAUUAGAUUAGAUUCGUCCAAGGGCUUGGAUUAAAUUUAUUUAAAGGCUUAGAAUAAGUUUGUACAAUAAUUUGGUUUGUAUUUGAGCAAUUGCUUAUAUAUAUAUAUUUGGUUUUUAAUGUUCUUGGUCACCAAGAGGACUGAAAUUCAGAAAGAAAAAAAAAACGAACUGGGCCUGAAUUGUGAAAGCCCUGAACCAGGACCGAAAUUUGGGUUCGCUUCUCGGUGAAUUGGGAAAUUCUAAUAUGGUCAAUUGAUGGAAUGAUUAUUCUUCUGUUUCCGAACAGGAUUUUUUUAUCGAUACAACCCUUCUGUUUCAACAACUCCCCAAGUUGUGAUCCCCCCGCCCCGCCCCUCCCCUCCCCUCCAAAAGGUGAUUUUAGUAAUUACCAAGUAUAAGUUAUUGUCCAGCAGUAUCUCGACCCAAUAUUAGGCAUCUUGCCCGGUGGAAAAGCUACAUCUAGUUCCGAACCAGCGAUUUGGUUGAUAUCCAGUGUUGUUUUUCAAGCGUGGAAGUCACCUAAUUAGAAGUUGUCAAAAUUUUAUAGCGAUCAGAGCUAACCACAAGGUAUUCUUUUCUCUCAGAUUUGCAAUUACAUAUGAAUUUGUUUAAAUUGUAAUGAUCCUCUCAUUUUUAGGAAGUAAGGGUAAAAUUGAAAUUACAUUUUCGAAUUUAGUGGUUUCAACGAGACCCUGCUGUCUACUAGCCAUCAAUUCUUCUGGGCAUAUCCCCUUGUACUCAAAUCUUGUGAGUGAUCCACAUUUUAUACGGGUAUACUUUGUUUAAGAUACAAUUUAACUGCAAAUUUUACUUAUGUAUCAAGUUCGGAGUUCGGUGCAUUUAAUAGUUUUAAUUUAGUGUCUACUAUCUACCUUAUGUGAUUCUGAUAUGUAUGUAUGAUACUUGCACAAAAUUUUCUUCAAAUUUGGUAUUCUAUCUUGAUGAGCUUUUGCCUAUGCAAGUUACAAGUAUCAUUGUUUUACGCAAAUUAAGCUAUUAAUACUUUCUAAUCGAUAGCUUCAGGAUCACAAAUCUCUUAGAUUUUAGUACCUUCAAAAGGAAACUUUUUCUCUGGGGUUAAGCAUCAAUCUCAUGAUUAAUUACGUCCAAAUAUAUGAGAUUGGUCACCAUUUGCAAACAUUACCUAAUAUAAUCCUUAACUUCUUUUAUUUGUACAAGUCGUUUAAGUCGACUGGAAUUAAAAUUUUGAAGGAUUGAACAAAUCUACAAGUUUCAAGCUCGACCUCUCAAAUCCGUAUCUUACAGAUCUAGAGGAAAAAGUCUAUGUUUCUCCACCACAUCUUAUCUCAUUUUCAAGCAGUUCAACACAUGCCUCUGAUUUACAUAUCCAUAUGUUAGGGUUUACAUCUGAUAAGUGCAGUUUAAUUCAGUUAUUUGUGGUUGUAGUUGUUUAGGUUUCUAGUGCCUAUGUUAUUUAUAUAUAUUCUAGAAAUUGUUGUAGGUGUAUUACUUUUUGCAGUUGAAAGGAUGGAGAUGACGAAGUGUGUGUGUGUGUGUGUGUUUUAUUAUUUUUUUCUUUUUGCAAUCGAAGCCAUGUAAUUGCUACGUCAUUAUGUGACUUUUAAAUCACUGCCGUGUCAGUCGCCUGACAUGUUGGUUUGGGCAUUGAAAAUUCAACUGACUCUUGACCGGUUUGUGCAAAUUAAAGAAGUCGGUGACUGGACUGAGUCAUAUUUGUGAAAAGUGAUGAAAUUGGUAGAAUCGUAUGAAAUGAAUACCAGAUAACUCAGGGUAUUAUUAUGGGUAGGGGGUGUGAUUAUUGAUUGCCAUGACCAUUAUUCAUGAGGGAGGAGAUAUGAGUCUUGCCACUAGGCAAUCAACAAAACCUUGAAUAUGCAAUUUUUUUAGUCCAACUAAUUUCAAAAACCCAGUCAUGUUAUAUGCUGAUAUCAUUACUCUCUCAACCUUCAGUGCGGUGAUUGUUGCUUGAAAUUCACUUGGUUUCUUUAAUUGACUUGUACUCUGCUAUGUUAUGUUCUGUAAUAAUUUAUAAUUUUACUUAAAGAUACAGCUUCAACUGCAGAACUAAUUAUGACAUUAUAGUAUUAGCAACAAGCCUUUUGUUUGAUUGGCAGUUAUUUGGGGUAAGUGCAUGAUUAGGUUGCCAUGUCUUGUUACAGGUUAUUAGGGUACUUAAGAUGGAUCCUGAAAUAAAUCUGCAAGAUCUUCACCCAAAAAAGAGAUGGAGGAGUGAGUUGUAUGCUCAAUUUGUUCUUGCCUGGCAGAACAAUAAUCAGUUACCUGCUGAAGGCACUCCAGAAAAAAAUGUUAAUAGCUUGGAUGACAAUCAUCAGCUGGCUGUUUAUACUCCUGCUGACGCUUCUGCUUCUGAUGGAACUGUUACUCAACCUCCACAGAACCAGGCCGGUCGGAUUGCGCCAUCUGUGGAAGCUUACACUGUCCAGUGUUCACUCUGUUAUAAGUGGAGGCUUAUUCCUUCGAAGGAGAAAUUCGAGGAAAUCCGUGAACACUUAAUAGAGCAGCCUUUUGUAUGCAGAGCACUUUAUCAGUGGCGUCCUCAGAUAUCUUGCACUGUUAAAACUGAUCUUCAACCAGAUGGUAGCAAGUUAUGGGCAAUUGAAACGCCCAACAUUCCUCGACCCCCUCCUAGGUGGAAGCGCAUUUUGAAGAUCAGGGCUUCCCAAGGAACCAGAUUUGCAGAUGUGUACGUAUUACUCUACAUUUUUUUUUUAAAUAUGGUUUAGUCUUAAUAUCUGCUGCUUCGUUUCAGUUUAAAAGUUGAGCUUUUCUUUACUUUCAGGUAUUAUUAUACACCAUCGAACAAGAGACUGCGGUCCACAACUGAAGUUCAAAGGUACUCUUGUCUCUUAGGUUUGUUUUCAGUUGAGCAGAGCGUUCAAAAACUUGCAAAUCUUUAUGUUUGGUUUAAAUGAUAAUAUUGAUGAAGUGGUCCAAAAAUUAUAGAGUAAAGUGACAUAAGGUCCUUCUACCAUAAAACAUGGCCGGCGCACCAACUUGACCUCUUCUCUGUAGUGUUUUCGAUAUUUUUCAAACAUUAUUUAGAUUCUGUUUGUAUUUGGGCAUAUUUUUAAGAAUGUAAAUGUUUGCUCUAUAUUAACCUAUCGUCAUGCAAAUUUCGCAAACUAUUGUUAUGCCAAUGGGCGCUCAGAUAUAGAUGGUUUGCUUCCCUUCAUGUUAUAGUACAAUAUGUUUAAACAGUUGAACAACGUUGUGUUCUUGGCUUGAGUCCAGCACUGACAGUG